rnacentral:rRNA from 1 species
UACGGAGGGAGCUAGCGUUGUUCGGAAUUACUGGGCGUAAAGCGCACGUAGGCGGCUUUGUAAGUUAGAGGUGAAAGCCCGGAGCUCAACUCCGGAACUGCCUUUAAGACUGCAUCGCUUGAAUCCGGGAGAGGUGAGUGGAAUUCCGAGUGUAGAGGUGAAAUUCGUAGAUAUUCGGAAGAACACCAGUGGCGAAGGCGGCUCACUGGACUGGUAUUGACGCUGAGGUGCGAAAGCGUGGGGAGCAAACAGG